CAAGGAAUUUUCCCCAAUGGGCGCAAGCCUGAGGGAGCAACGUCGCGUGCAGGACGACGGCCUUCGGGUUGUAAACUGCUUUUGCGUGGGACGAUAACGACGGUACCACGCGAAUCAGCCCCGGCUAACUCUGUGCCAGCAGCCGCGGUAAUACAGAGGGGGCAAGCGUUGUUCGGAAUUACUGGGCGUAAAGCGCGCGUAGGCGGAUUGAUCAGUCAGGGGUGAAAUCCCGGGGCUCAACCCCGGAACUGCCUUUGAUACUGUCAAUCUAGAGUUCGAGAGAGGUGAGUGGAAUUCCGAGUGUAGAGGUGAAAUUCGUAGAUAUUCGGAGGAACAACAGUGGCGAAGGCGGCUCACUGGCUCGAUACUGACGCUGAGGUGCGAAAGUGUGGGGAGCAAACAGGAUUAGAUACC
rnacentral:rRNA from 1 species